UUGACAACCCAUUAAUAUCAAAGAAAAAUUAAAUGGCCAAAAAGAAAAAUCCCAAAUUUAAAAAAUAAAUAAAUUAGAAGAUUAGAAUGACCAAAGAAAAAACCAGAACCUCCAAGUUCUCUCCCUUUUUUCGAUCUUCUGAAGAAAUAAACCCUAAGUUAUUCAAUUGAUUUACAAAUUAUUGCGAUUUCGAGCUUUCAAGCUUCACAAUUUAGGCGACCUUCUUUGUUUUUCCUUUGAGUAUGUUCCUUAAUAAGGAUGGUGAUACUACUACUACUACUUCUACGGCACAUGAUGAUGGAUAUAAUGAAUACAUCACUCCGCAACGAAAGAGAAAGAAGAGGUCUAAAGUUUGGAGAGAGCUUAUUGAAGGGAAGAAUGUUCAAGGAGAAUUAUAUCAUACCCUGAUCAAAAAAGUUGAGAGGCUGAAGUAUCAUGGCAGAUUUUGGGUUGGACAAAACUUCAUUUGUGAAUCUAAUCUUUGAAGACUGAAAUGGAUUUUUUUUUUUUUUUUUUUUUCUUAAAUGGAGUAUGCAGACUAGACUUUGUGGAUUUCAGAAUGUUUAUUUACUUACAAUGCAUUGGUUUUUGCUUCUGAAAAUGUGAUCUGAACUUUGUGGAUUUCAAAAUGUAAUCAGAAAUAUAAGUUACUCUGUUUGCUUUCAUGAAAGCUGCUAAGUUUGGCCGCCAUUGGUUACCUUUCUUUAGGGUAAAUAAUGUGGUGGAAAGGUGUCCUGAAACUUACUUCAA